CCUACGGGUGGCAGCAGUGAGGAAUAUUGGUCAAUGGCCGGAAGGCUGAACCAGCCAAGCCGCGUGAGGGAGGAAGGCUCAGCGCGUCGCAGACCUCUUUUGCCGGGGGGCAAAAUGCCGGACUCGUCCGGUCCUGAGGGUACCCGGCGAACAAGCAUCGGCUAACUCCGUGCCAGCAGCCGCGGUAAUACGGGGGAUGCGAGCGUUAUCCGGAUUCAUUGGGUUAAAGGGGUGCGCAGGGGGGCCUUUAAGCCGGCGGUGAAAUCGCGGGGCUCAACCCCGGCGAGCCGUCGGAACUGGGGGCCUGGAGUGCGGGGGAGGCAUGCGGAAUGCGCGGUGUAGCGGUGAAAUGCAUAGAUAUCGCGCAGAACCCCGAUUGCGAAGGCAGCGUGCCGUGCCGCAACUGACGCUGAGGCACGAAAGCGCGGGGAUCGAACAGGAUUAGAUACCCCAGUAGUC
rnacentral:rRNA from 1 species